rfam:Picea glauca, whole genome shotgun sequence.
GUAUAUGCCUACAACAUAGUGUUAAUGCAUUAGAUUCCAUUAGAACUUUACAAUUAAGCGUGCUCGGGCUAGAGUAGUACUGGGAUAGGUGACCUCCCAGGAAGUCCUAGUGUGUGAUGUAAA